AAACCAACAGGGAUUGCCCCAGUAACGGCGAGUGAAGCGGCAAGAGCUCAAAUUUGAAAUCUGGCCUCCCCCGGGGGCCCGAGUUGUAAUUUGCAGAGGAUGCUUCGGGUGCGGCCGCCGUCUAAGUUCCUUGGAACAGGACGUCAGAGAGGGUGAGAAUCCCGUCUUGGGCGGGCGGUCCGCGCCCGUGUGAAGCUCCUUCGACGAGUCGAGUUGUUUGGGAAUGCAGCUCUAAGCGGGUGGUAAAUUUCAUCUAAAGCUAAAUAUUGGCCGGAGACCGAUAGCGCACAAGUAGAGUGAUCGAAAGGUUAAAAGCACCUUGAAAAGGGAGUUAAACAGCACGUGAAAUUGUUGAAAGGGAAGCGCUUGCGGCCAGACUCGGGGGCGGGGUUCAGCGGGUGCUCGUCGCCCGUGUAUUCCUCGUCUCCCGGGCCAGCAUCAGUUUCGACGGCCGGUCAAAGGCCCCCGGAAUGUGUCGUCUCUCGGGACGUCUUAUAGCCGGGGGUGCAAUGCGGCCCGUCGGGACUGAGGAACGCGCUCCGGCUCGGAUGCUGGCGUAAUGGCCGUAAGCGGC
rnacentral:rRNA from 2 species